GGAUGUAGUAAUUUUUUUUAUAUUUAAAAGUAUUAUUUAUUAUUUGAGUUCUAUAUCAGGUUAAUUUGUUCAAGACUUUCUUCAAAAGUACUAAUAACAUCGGCUUGUUCAGAACCUGUCACUAGUCCUGGAUUUCAUGCAUUACAAUAGAU